GUCAUGCUGCAACCGCACGAAGCGGGUUCGCAAGCACGGCAAGCGUCCGGUUUCCCCGGCCCGCGCCGUCACCUGGCAGAUAGGCGAGUCUGAGACAUGAG
rfam:Paenibacillus sp. VKM B-2647 B-2647_013, whole genome shotgun sequence.